rnacentral:misc_RNA from 1 species
GAUGAAGAACGUAGCAAAAUGUGAUACUUGGUGUGAAUUGCAGAAUCCCGUGAACCAUCGAGUUUUUGAACGCAAGUUGCGCCCGAAGCCUUUUGGCCGAGGGCACGUCUGCCUGGGCGUCACGCAUCGCGUCGCCCCCCCACAAUUCUCCGUAAAGGGAACAUGUGUUUUGGGGGCGGAUAUUGGUCUCCCGUGCUCAUGGCGUGGUUGGCCGAAAUAGGAGUCCUUUCGAUGGACGCACGAACUAGUGGUGGUCGUAAAAACCCUCGUCUUUUGUUUCGUGCUGUUGCUCGCAAGGUAAACUCUUUAAAAACCCCAAUGCGUCGUCUCUUGACGACGCUUCGACCGCGACCCCAGGUCAGGCGGGACUACCCGCUGAGUUUAAGCAUAUCAAUAAGCGGAGGA